UACGGAGGAUGCGAGCGUUAUCCGGAUUUAUUGGGUUUAAAGGGUGCGUAGGCGGACUGGAAAGUCAGCGGUAAAAUCGAGAGGCUCAACCUCUUUCCGCCGUUGAAACUGUCGGUCUUGAGUGGGCGAGAAGUAUGCGGAAUGCGUGGUGUAGCGGUGAAAUGCAUAGAUAUCACGCAGAACUCCGAUUGCGAAGGCAGCAUACCGGCGCCCGACUGACGCUGAGGCACGAAAGCGUGGGUAUCGAACAGG
rnacentral:rRNA from 1 species